CCUACGGGCGGCUGCAGUGGGGAAUAUUGCGCAAUGGGGGAAACCCUGACGCAGCGACGCCGCGUGAGCGAAGAAGGCCUUAGGGUUGUAAAGCUCUGUUUUAGGGGACGAAUGUUAUGGGGAGUAAUAUGCCCUGUAAAUGACGGUACCCUAAGAGGAAGCCCCGGCUAACUACGUGCCAGCAGCCGCGGUAAGACGUAGGGGGCGAGCGUUGUCCGGAAUUACUGGGCGUAAAGAGCACGUAGGCGGGAACUUAAGUCAGGUGUGAAAGACCGAGGCUCAACCUCGGGUAUGCACUUGAAACUGGGUUUCUUGAGGGCAGGAGAGGAAAGCAGAAUUCCUGGUGUAGCGGUGAAAUGCGUAGAAAUCAGGAGGAAUACCAGUGGCGAAGGCGGCUUUCUGGACUGAUCCUGACGCUGAGGUGCGAAAGCGUGGGUAGCAAACAGGAUUAGAUACCCCUGUAGUC
rnacentral:rRNA from 1 species